UCUCUCAGCCAAAGGCACCUCUGAGCCAAACUGGAUUGAAUUGGCCUGAAAUGAUUACUGCAAUUACCAGUUAUUUAUUGCAGCUUUUAUGGCCUAGCAAUCCUGGUUGUCUCUUUCUAGAAUGUUUGAUGGGAAAUUGCCAAUAUGUACAAUUGCAGGUGAGUUCCUUUGAACAUUUCAUGUCUACACAUUCUUGUAAAGCAUGGGAUUGCUGAAUUUUUUUCUUUGUAAAUGUUAACUGCAUUUUAAAGAACCACAAUAAUUUAAACUUGAUUAUGUGAAGACAUACCCCAAAGAGAUUGUUCUCUAUUUCUAUACCAUCCUGAACUUGCUUGAUUUUGUCUGAUCUACGA
rnacentral:lncRNA from 10 species